rnacentral:misc_RNA from 1 species
UUUCCGUAGGUGAACCUGCGGAAGGAUCAUUAUUGUAUAACCGAGGUGCGAGGGCUGUCGCUGACCCGACAGUUCGUGCACGCCCGUGCGCCCUCACACACAUCCAUCUCACCCCUAUGUGCACCACCGCGUGGGUCCCCCUUUGGCUUGUUCGGAGGGGCGCUUACGUUUUCACACAAACUUUGUAUGCAGUGUAGAAUGUAUUUUUUGUUUUUGCGAUCACGCAAUCAAUACAACUUUCAACAACGGAUCUCUUGGCUCUC